rnacentral:rRNA from 1 species
CCUACGGGAGGCAGCAGUGGGGAAUAUUGCACAAUGGGCGAAACCCUGAUGCAGCCACGCCGCGUGAGUGAAGAAGUAUCUCGGUAUGUAAAGCUCUAUCAGCAGGGAAGCGAAUGACGGUACCUGACUCAGCAGCCCCGGCUAACUACGUGCCAGCAGCCGCGGUAAUACGUAGGGGGCGCGCGUUAUCCGGAUUUACUGGGGGUAAAGGGAGCGUAGACGGUGCUGCAAGUCUGAAGUGAAAGCCCGUGGCUUAACCGCGGAACGGCUUGGGAAACUGGGGAACGGGAAUGCUGGAGAGGAAGGCGGAAUGCGUGGUGUAGCGGUGAAAUGCAUAGAUAUCAGGCGGAACCCCGGUGGCGAAGGCGGCUUGCUGGACAGUAACUGACGUUGAGGCUCGAAAGCGUGGGGAGCGAACAGGAUUAGAUACCCGUGUAGUC